rnacentral:misc_RNA from 1 species
UUUCCGUAGGUGAACCUGCGGAAGGAUCAUUAUCGAGUUUUGACUGGGUUGUAGCUGGCCUUCCGAGGCAUGUGCACGCCCUGCUCAUCCACUCUACACCUGUGCACUUAGUGUGGGUAGCAGAUCGUGAAGCGUGCUCUUUUACCGGAGCUUGUGAAGCGUGUCUGUGCUUGCGUUUAUCACAAACACUAUAAAGUAUCAGAAUGUGUAGUACGAUGUAACGUAUCUAUAUACAACUUUCAGCAACGGAUCUCUUGGUUCUC